CCUACGGGUGGCUGCAGUCGAGAAUCAUUCACAAUGGGGGAAACCCUGAUGGUGCGACGCCGCGUGGGGGAAUGAAGGUCUUCGGAUUGUAAACCCCUGUCAUGUGGGAGCAAAUUAAAAAGAUAGUACCACAAGAGGAAGAGACGGCUAACUCUGUGCCAGCAGCCGCGGUAAUACAGAGGUCUCAAGCGUUGUUCGGAACCACUGGGCGUAAGGCGUGCGUAGGCUGUUUCGUAAGUCGUGUGUGAAAGGCGCGGGCUCAACCCGCGGACGGCACAUGAUACUGCGAGACUAGAGUAAUGGAGGGGGAACCGGAAUUCUCGGUGUAGCAGUGAAAUGCGUAGAUAUCGAGAGGAACACUCGUGGCGAAGGCGGGUUCCUGGACAUUAACUGACGCGGAGGCACGAAGGCCAGGGGAGCGAAAGGGAUUAGAUACCCGGGUAGUC
rnacentral:rRNA from 1 species